CAUGUCCUUUAGAUUCUAAUUUAAGGUUUGAUCUGCUCAAUGAUAUUAAAUAGCCGCGGUAUUUUGACCGUGCGAAGGUAGCAUAAUAAUUAGUUUUUUUAUUGAAAGCUGGAAUGAAUGAUUGGACGAGGGAUGAUCUGUCUCUUCAUAACUUUUUUUUGAAUUUAACUUUUAAGUUAAAAGGCUUAUAUUUUUUUUAAAGACGAGAAGACCCUAUAGAGUUUAACAUAUAUAUUGUUAAUGGUUUUUUGGUAUGAGUUAUCUUUUAUCAGUUUUUUGUUUGGUUGGGGUGAUUAGAGAAUUAAUUAAACUUCUCUAUGCUUUUGUUACUGAUUAGUAAUUUUUCUUUCUAUAUUUUUAAGUUUAAACUAAAUUACCUUAGGGAUAACAGCGUUAUUUCUCUUUAGAGUUCUUAUUGUGAGAGAAGUUUGCGACCUCGAUGUUGGAUUAAAAUUUACUUUGGGCGCAGUAGCUUAUUAGUUAAGUCUGUUCGACUUUUAAAAUUUUACAUGAUCUGAGU
rnacentral:rRNA from 1 species